AUAAAUUGAGUAGUUUAUACAUGUUGGACUUGGAAUUUGAAUUAGAAGAAAACCUGCGAUUUGGACAUGUCACUUGUUUAAACUGCCUGAUUUAGCUCUAGGAGCCGUUAUAAAAUUGUACUGUCGCAGUAUCCUCGAGACGAGCACUCCAGAUAGUUUAGAAUACAUUACGCUCGUGCUGGUACGCCGAGUGGAUUUUUACAGGAUCGUUUGGGCUAUUUUGGACUGUUGGGUGCCGUCAGAGUUGACGGUGGACCCGGAUCGCCUUUUUGGCGACAGAUUGUGCCGAGGGCACGUGAACUGUUGGUUAUUAGACUAGUUAGAGUCGGUUACUUGACUUUGGCUUUUCAGAGCCUGUUUGAGCUCGACAGAGAUACGCCGCAUACUCAGUUGGGUAACGCCCACGAGUGCUACUCCGGAGACGGCUUUGUGCUUUCGCGUUGGUGUCGCUCAUGCCGGUUGGACUUGCUUUCCACGGACCAGUUAGUGUGGAGGUAGCUGGAUAGUCGCAACUGGGCAGGGACGGGUGUAUUCACAGUCCCAGGGACGGGUAGGCUUACAGUCCCGAUUGGAUUGGGUCAGAUUUGACAUUUCCUACAGUUGGUUAGUGUAGAGCAUGAUAGUGUAGUGAUUGAUAGCG
rnacentral:lncRNA from 1 species